GUCCCUUUGGGGACAUCCGAUAAAAUUGGAAAGGUACAAAGUAGAUUAGCAUGGCUCGUGUACAAGGAGAUUCUGCUUUGAGUUAGAAGAAUGAAAAUGAC
rfam:Cucumis melo, WGS project CAJI01000000 data, contig: 04809